CUCUCCCUGAUGUCGGGUCCAAGUUCACUCGCCGGCUGAGCUCGAAGAAAUAAACGGGUGAAAAGAUAAGUAACGACUUUUUUGUGCUGUCGUUAUUUGAUCCAGCAAAGUUACGUUUACAUUUGGUGCCGUGACUCGGAUCCCCACAUAGGGAACGUCUCUCUGGGCUGAGUAAGUGACAGGGGGCUUGAAUCGAACACAAUGAGUAGCAGGCGCCCCGAGGUAGUUUACCUCUGGCUACUCCUUGUGUCCGACCGAGCCUUCUUGCUCCUCGCCCAUUGGGACUGGUACCUUGACAGGAUCGGACGACCCGUUUUGAUUACAGAAUUUAAGGUAAACAGUUGUCUCUUCUACAUUGCUGCGGUGACAGGAAAUGGCCGGUUGAAAAUUGACGAUUCGGAAAAGGGGUUGCGCAUGUCUCACGAUAUGGCCGGUUGAAAUUUGUAAAUAAUACGAGACUGGCAGCCCGGUUAAAUUCUCACCUUGGCAGCAGAAAUAUGGCCGGUUGAAAUUUAAUGAGACAAGUUCAGGAUAAAGGAGGUAAGGCCUCCAGAGUACGUGAGAGUUGUUUUUUUUUUCGCGAGUAUUGACGGAAAAUAGGCUAGCAGUUUCUGUGAGAAUUAAGGGCUGCGGGUGACAUUGGGUCUUCUGUAUUGUUCCUAAGGAAAGAAUCGGGACUGGGGACCCCGGUCAGGACAGACGGCCACCGCUACCUGACGGAUUUGACCGUAUCAGCUGCCUCCUGAUAAUACGGCCGGUUGAAAUUGCUUUCGGGGGAGGCAGGCUGGCUAAAUUUCUCACAAGUGGCUUGUGCCUAGGCGCUUGCGUUGUGUAUUUUGUGUCUAUACGCUGUCUGUCUCGUUGCUUUGUCUGUGUUUCGUGUAUUUGUGAUUUUGGCUACUUGCUUUACUUUGUACAGCACUUUGGUCAACGUGGUUGUUUUUAAAUGUGCUAUAUACUUGACUGAUAAUUAAGAACAACUGAUAAGGGCAAUAAUGGGACAGGCCCUUGAUACAGCUAUGUGUGAACGAAUACCAGAUAAGAAAGGGACUUUCGGAUGUUAAGUGCAGCGCUAACAAAGAAACUAGAGAAACAGUGUGGCCACCAGGAGAAACAAGCAGUAAAUUUAUUUUGUGAAAAGAAUUGCGAUAAAAAGUGGAAAUGAUUGAUUAAAGAAUGGAAAGGUAGAGCCAAUUCUAAAUGGAAUGGUACCUUACUGGCCAGCUGGAGGAAUAAUGCAUGUGAUAAAGGGAUAGAGGUAUGUACGGCAGAAGGGACUCCCAAGAGUUGGGAGACACUGCAGGCGGAGUGGAGUGCGAAUGGGUAGAAGGGAGAAGAAAGAGAGAACGAGAAACAAAGAAAACAGGCAAAAGCAGAUAUGGACAGACAGGAAGGUUUAAAAUUGGCAGUGCCGCGCGCGAAGAUCUAGGGCCAAUACGGGAUCCCGAACCCAUAUCUGGCUUACCGACCCUGUUUAAGGACAGUGACCGCGAUGAGGAUUGGGCAUCCACCUUAUCCCCCACCUUACCAGAGGCCGAGUGCACCCAGUGCUUCCGAACCCCAAUCCUCCCAGUACCUAGAGACGGUGGCCGCUUGGGCAAAACAGCAGCGGGUGAGAAGGGAAGGCUCUCUAUACCCUGAGAUCCAGAAAGGGAAUACCAGGGAUUAUUCCGAGACUGAGGGAAGAAUCCAAUAAAACCCCAGAGUUAAGGGCUCCACAGAGACAAGUGCCUACCCAAAUGCUGCCCAGUCCACGAGCAGCUGAAGGACAGCCCUGUCACUCUUGUAUGCAGCCUGGACCUCAAGAGAUGGUAACGAUCAUGAAUCAGGCCCCCGAUGGAAAAGAACCACCAGCACAGUUUGCUUGGUAUGUCCGCAGUACUAUACAAAUGUAUAAUGCGACCCCGCAAGAUUUAUUUGGUCUUUGCUGCACGACUUUCUCAUCUGAGGAGGGGCGGUAAUGGAAGGCAGAAUUAAGACAGCAAAUUUAUCAGGAGUUACAGGCGGGAAGGCAUAAUGAGAAUGAACAGACAGACCGGAUUAUUCAAGCCUUGGAGACGGCUCUCCAGCAACCUGUAAAUAUCACUAAAGUGUUUGAAUGCAAACCUAAGCCUGGGAAAUCAGGACCAGGCUACUGGGAGCGAGUUAUGGCCUGCUACAGCACCUUCGCAGGAGACCUAGCCUUUAAUAAUGGGAAUCCGUUCCCCCAGUUUAAGUGCUUACCAACUAAGUUAGCCAACAGGAUUAAAACUAAUAAUAUGUUUUGGCCUGAUAAUGACCGAAAUCGAAUGCAACGAGCUUUGAGAUAUUACUGGGACCUAGCAUUCCAAUCCCGAUCAACCCCGGAGGGAACUAACAUUAAAGGUGAAUAUGUUCAGCAGGAAGAAGGAUGCUUCCUACCGUGAGUACCACCCCUCAGGAAGAGCCCAAUAUAAUAUUGCAAGAUGCUGCCAUUCUAAUUCCCUUUAUGAUGGUAUAGGAAAAGGGAUACCGGCUAUCAGACGCUACAAUCACUCUGGGUUCGAAAGCACGGAACGUACAUAUUCACGUACCCAGCCACUGCAGGUGAAAUUCCAGGGGACCCAGUGUGAGGUUUAAUUUACAGUCACCACCAGGCUGGGGUGUAAUCUAGCAGAGUGAGACUUGCUCUGUCCGUUGGAAAUCGAGAUUCUAUGCACGGACAAGGGUAUCACCCUGGGACUAGCGAAACAACCGACCGCCCAGUGGUGGGCACUUAAUUUGGACUCCACUUCGUUUGAACCCUCUCUGCCAGAGACAGACCCUAAUGUGACUCUGUGCUAUGACCCUACAGGGUGCUCCACUGAGGAAAGCCAGUAUUAUGCACCCUCGAUGGACAGAAGUUGCCAGUCACGGUGUUUGGAGAGGUUAAAGGGGGCAGCGCAUUACUGGCCGAAGUUCCGGAUUUCCUUUGGCAACAGACAGGACCGGUGGUUCCCCAUACCACAGUUAGGCUUUGCCCUGGGUCCAAGCCAAACAGCCUGGGUUUCUUGCUUACACCCUGAUGAAACAAACCUCCAGCACCGAGAGAGACUGGCAAGACUUGGCCGCGGGCCAACUCCAAUACUGGAAGGAGUCAAAGGUGAAGACGGGACAUCUGGUAAGACACUCUUUUAAUAUUGCCCGAACCCAAGACGUUGUACCCCAUCUCUGGGCAAUUUCAGGCCAUGAAGUCGGUCGCACCAACUGCACCCCCUCCCCCGACAUCACCGUGAAAGAAGAACAGACUCUCCCACCCCUUCCGCAAUACCCCCUCAAGCCCGAGGCAACGUUUUAUGAGGACGGAAGCUCUUUUGUGGAUCCAGCAGGUAAACAAUGUUCUGGCUAUGCGAUAAGUGACGACAGUGAAGGAAUUGAGCAAGUCUCCUUUGCAGCGACUGUCUCUGCCUAGAAAGCUGAGCUACUUGCUCUGACUCAUGCCUGAAUCCUAGCAAGACUACUCAGUUCUGAUUUUGAAGAAUCCACCACAGAACCAAUUCUUUGUAGAAGACCUGAAAAAAAACGCAAUCAUAAAUGAAGAUGACUUUGAAGAGGGAGUCCACAACUAUUUGGAACAAAAUAAAAAGGGCCUGUACGAGGGCUUCAGUGGAGGAGCCAAAAAUACAAGCCUAAGCUGGAGUCCUCUAUGAUUAAAUUUUCGAAUUUUAAAAUAAAAGGCCUGUGGAAAAGAAAUCUCAAACAGAUUAAUGUGCUGACUUUUACGUAGACUCCCGCUAUGCCCUGACUACAGAACUCUGGGGAUUCCUGACUUCCUCUGCGCCCCCCCCCCCCAUUAGUAAUGCUACCUUUGUAAACAACAUACUCACCGCUCUACAGCUACCUCGAGUUUUGGCUAUUAUUAGAUGUGCAGCCCAUACUGGGGAAUCUGAUGAGAUAUUUAAGGGUAAUGCUCGGGCUGGUGCAGCAGCAAAACAGACAGCCUUGGACCCCACACUUUUAGUCCCCUCGGGAGCCUAACAAGUUUUUAUUAGACAAAAACCUAAGGACUGGUAUGCCAGACAUGGGGGAAAAUACAUAAAUUCCAGGGGGACGCCCCUUAAGGAGAGCACAAACUAUGGUCCCAAAUGGAUUGCCACCUUGAACCUCAGACCAAUUUAUGGGUGACCCCUGCAGGACAGGUUUGUGUUUCCUCUGUGUUCUUAUCUGUCUUGAUAGAUUAUGUAAAUAAUUGUACACACUUGGGCAAGGAGGGAAUGGUUAAUAUCUUGGUGGCGGUGGCACCCUGAUUUCCAGCAAGCAGUUGAAAAGCGAGCCACAGCAUGUGAAAGAAACGAAUGCUGGAAAGGGAAUGCCUUGUGUUUCUGGAACUACCCCCUUGCCUGGUGGACCUUUUUCGUGUCUGCAGCUUGAUUUUGUAGAACACCUAGAGUACAUUGUUGUAAAUAUCGCUUGGUAAUAGUAGAUGUAUUUAGCAGAUAGGGGCUAUACCCACUACUGAUAAUACUGUUGUAAAAAUAUUAUUAAAAGAAGUGAUUCCCCGUUAUGGACUCCCGGAAAUGAUAAGCUCAGACAAUGGACUGCACUUUGUAGCCAAAAUAAAUGAGGAAAUCUGCAAGGAACUGGCUAUAAAGCAACAGUUCCACUGCACCCACCACCCAAAGGCAGCUGGUAUAGUAGAAAGAGCCAACAGUAUCUUGAAAGAUAAGUUGACCAAACUUACCCAGGAGACUGGACUGACCUGGUUAAAAGUUCUACCCUUGGCCUUGUUCCACAUGAGAAUCACACCCUCAGUUAAAACGGAGUUAUCCCAAGUCAAGAUUAUCUACGGGAAGCUCAUGUGAACCCCAUAGGGGUCGGAACUGGCCCAACCUCCCCUUCCUGAAAGGAUGGACAUGCAUACCCUAGGGGAGGAGAUGGGAAAAUACCUAUGCAAGUUAACUAAAACUCUCCAAAGCUUCUAUUCACAGGUAUGACAGGCCAAUCGAGAGGAUGACACCCAGCCUAAGGGUGACUACCCCACCAUCGAGCCUGGAGAUUUUGUCCUGAUUAAGAACUGGGAUCGUAAGAAGUGGGAACCAAGGUGAAAAGGACCGUACCAAGUGCUACUGACAGCACCUACUGCAGUGAAGGUGGAAGGGCAGCUCCAGUGGAAACAUCGAACGGACUGUAAACACAUUACUGGUGGAAAUGAUAAGGACUGAAAAAUGCAGUGGUUAAUGAUGAUUUUAAUGACCCUGAGGGGACCUGCCCCUGCUUCGGGAGGCCCCCAUGUUAACACUUUUCUGUCCCUCCGACACUAAGCAAGUAGAACGGGGAGCAUUUUGGGUACGUUCUGUAUCAUGUUGCAGAAGCAACAAUCUGUUCUGAAAAGUUAUCAUUUAAUGAUAAAAAGGAGGGAAUGAUAAAGUUUAAGGGAAUGGGGGAUUCUCAGAUUCCUGUAAACAAUGGAUUAAGUACUGACUAUGUCUGUGACUGCAGUGUGUUUGAAUAAUGUCUCACAGCUGCCUUCUUUGGAGCAUGAUGAUUAAAGUUCGCCCAGAUCCACAUAAGAUGUCUCUGGGCUUUUCACACCUUUUGAUUUUGAGAAAAAGCAGUACCUGAUGGAAAUUAGACAGAACAUUCCUAUCUUAAUUAAAGCAUAAAUUUGACGGAUGUUCUUAUCUUUGUAAUUAAGUUGUGGCUCCAGCAAACCAGGUAGGACAUUCUUUUCUUUAAUUAAGGUGGCUGGAGUGUCUAACAAAUUGAUUGUACUUUUGUAUCAAUAGUCCAUUGACUUGGCCGGAAUAGUUAUCAAACUGAUUGUUCUUUGCAUCAAUAGUCCAUUGACUUGACCGGAACGGUUAUCAAACUGAUUGUUCUUUUGUAUCGGUGGCCUUAUAACUUCCGACAAUUCUGACAUCAGGCAGUGAACUUGUAGAACCGCCGGGGAGAUGACAUAUCGGACACUGGCUUUCUCCUGUGCCAAGGUGCAGCCAGUCCUGCUGACUUCCACCAGAUUAUGAAUGUGUCGUUUGAGGCUACAGUUGUUUUGAUCAUUUGCUUCUCUUUCACCAAGUCUGGCCCCAGAGAAGUAGGAAUGAAAAGUGGGUGUUCUAAGGAGGAAUGUAGGGCCAGAGAGAUGGCAUCUGCCGUUGACCUGUUGCUCCGGUAGUCGCAUUGCAAAUGGUCAAGGAUUUACGAAAUAUGUAUCAGAACUUAAGGAAAAACCUCAGAUUUUAUGUAUACAGGAAAUAUGGUUGAAACCCAGGGUAAAUGUGCAGAACUCCAUCAACAAAUAGAAGUACUCAAUAAGAACAACUGUCAGUUGGAAAGAGAUUGGACAAAACAGUACUGCAUUUAAAGGAGACGGUUUCUGAAAAAGAUGCUUGUUGUCAAAAAUUCAGUGACAUGGAAAACAGAUUUUAAAAAGGAGGAGCUUAUUCCACAGUUACAAAAGGAAAAAAGAGUUUGUUGCAAAGUGAAUUAUCAACAUUCAGAUUAAAAAAUGAAAACAUGGAAACAAAUGAGGAAGAAUUUCAAGAUCUCAGUAAACAACAACAGGCUUUGAUUCAAGAAAAGGAAAACUUGGAAAUAGCAGAUAGACUUGGAAAGCAGCAAUUUUUAAAUGUUGAGCAUGCAAUAAUGAAUAUUCUCAAACAAGAAGCUUUUAGUUUCACAAAUGAUUCAGAUGGAAGUGAAUUAUCUACAUUCAGAGUAUAAAAUGAAAACAUGGAAACAAAUGAGGAAGAACUUCAAGAUCUCAGUAAACAACUACAGGCUAUGAUUCAAGAAAAGAACUUGGAAAUAGCAGAUAGACUUGACAAAUAGCAAUUUUAAAAGUUAAGCAUACGAUAAUUAAUAUUCUUGAAGAAGAUUUUAGUCUUACAAAUGAUGCAGAUGAAAUCAAUGUAAUUGAGGUAAUGCAAUUACUUAAAAUCCAUGUGACAAAAAUUAGGCAAGAAAAGCAGUUUGUGGCACUGCUAUCUAAUGAGCACAUACAGCAUUCACAAGAGGAAUUGCGAUUACAGAGUGAUGCAAAUAGAGAUACGCAGGCUGAACUAGGUUGUCUAAAGUAGAGUACUCCAGGACGUAUUUGGUUGAAAUCAGAACACCACAAGUCUGGCAGGUGGCGGUAAUGCACCUUAAAGCUGGUUUGCCAACCACCAUAAAACAACACAGGAAGAAGAAGAAGAAGAAGAAGAGAGGGUGUAAGAGUAGAGGGAAACAGAGUAGGAAGGCUUUGGCUCAACGGGGCUUCGGCGUUAACAGGUCGAGGCAAGGUAGAUUGCCUGUGUAGAAUAGACAAGGAGGUAUGUGUGUGAGGCCGGUGUAUUGUGCUCAGUGUCAGAUGUGGGAAGUCCUGGAGACUCCAAGCCUCCCGGACGGCCACAUUUGCGCCAGGUGAGUUGAGCUGCAGCUCCUUAGGGACUGUAUUAGAGAACUGGAGAUGCAGCUCAAUGAUCUUCAUCUGGCCAGGGAGAGUGGGGAGGUGAUAGACAGGAGCUGCAGGCAGGUAGUCACACCAGGGCCUGGGGAGACAGAUAAGUGGGUAACACUCAGGAGAGGGAAGGGCAGGAGUCAGAUACUGGAGAGCACCCCUGUGGCUGUACCCC